CACCCGUUCCCAUGCCGAACACGGAAGUUAAGCUCUCCAGCGCCGAUGAUAGUCGGGGGCUCUCCCCCUGUGAAAGUAGGACGUCGCUGGGC
rnacentral:rRNA from 2 species